GAGCAAGAAGAGCUGGUGGCACGAGGGGUCAGACCGGUGAGGUUGAUGUGAAUAAACUGGCCCUCUGCGAGGGCUGCUGUCUGGUAAAGUAAGAAACACCACAGCUUUGGCUUGUAAAUAUCAUGCUCAGGAUGCUUUUGGUGAACUGAGCUGGUGCUAGGGCGUGAACCAAACACCACGGUAAGGCACCUAAUGCCAGUUGUCCCAGGAUCAGUGCUGGUGCAGGGACAGAUAAGGAAUGGCUUGUGGUGCAGCUUCGCAGGCCCCUUGUAGAUCCGCUUGUGGAAGCAGGCCUCUGCCCGAUGUUCAUUGAUUCUUCAUUAAUUCUUUUCAUAUUUAAGCACAAAUGUGUGUUUAGUUUACCUCAGGGAGUACAACAGAAACUCCCAGUCGGUUUGGUGUCAGGAGUGGGGUUGCUGCUCGCUGGCAGGAGCCGCCAGACUGGGGCCAGAGGGGAGGCCCAGGCGGCACCACCAUCAGAUGUGAGUGAUCCUUGUCGCCUUGUCUCACCAGCAAGUGAUCUUCGCCCCAACCACAUCUCCAGGCUGGCCAUUAUAUCAGUGGGAAUUGUCACUGGAGGCAAAGAAAAUAAAAUCACCUCAGAAGUGUUGCAAGGAUGUGAUCUACAGUCAGCUUUUGAGCGAGCCACUACAGCCCAACAGCCAGUAAGGUCCCUCCCUGAUGGAAAGCAUGCUCUUGUGGAUGCCCAGCGAUAGGGUGAACUUUGUCAUGUAGUCCAGUUGAAGCUACUACCACUCUACUCUCCAGCUGGUUAACACACACGGCCUUGAAUCACAGCCCUCAAGACAGAAUCACGGAACAUACAGCUGAUGUGUGAGAAAGGAGACCAUUGGUGGAGAGAAG